UCGCCGGCCACGGCGGACGGGCCGACCGGCUGGAAACCGGUGGUCUCCGGGUGCGAGACCCGGCCGCCGUGC
rnacentral:tRNA from 1 species